rnacentral:rRNA from 1 species
GAUGAACGCUGGCGGCGUGCCUAAUACAUGCAAGUCGAGCGAACAGACGAGGAGCUUGCUCCUCUGACGUUAGCGGCGGACGGGUGAGUAACACGUGGAUAACCUACCUAUAAGACUGGGAUAACUUCGGGAAACCGGAGCCAAUACCGGAUAAUAUAUUGAACCGCAUGGUUCAAUAGUGAAUGACGGCUUUGCUGUCACUUAUAGAUGGAUCCGCGCCGCAUUAGCUAGUUGGUAAGGUAACGGCUUACCAAGGCAACGAUGCGUAGCCGACCUGAGAGGGUGAUCGGCCACACUGGAACUGAGACACGGUCCAGACUCCUACGGGAGGCAGCAGUAGGGAAUCUUCCGCAAAGGGCGAAAGCCUGACGGAGCAACGCCGCGUGAGUGAUGAAGGUCUUCGGAUCGUAAAACUCUGUUAUUAGGGAAGAACAAAUGUGUAAGUAACUAUGCACGUCUUGACGGUACCUAAUCAGAAAGCCACGGCUAACUACGUG